rnacentral:lncRNA from 1 species
GCAGAGAAACAUCUCUAUGGGAUUUUUGAAGACAAACAGACAUGUGAGCCAUGAAUUUUCUCCUCCACGUCCUUAUACUGGACAUAACUUUAAACCAAGAAACAAGUUUUGGUUCUGCUGUACCCUUGCUAUGACCACCACCUGGAAUAUUGUUUUGGACCCAUCCACCCAGCCCAAAGGAUGGAGGAGGAAGGCCAGGACUGACUCAAGGGCACGGCCCUGCCAGGUUGGAAAUAUCCAAUAUCAUCUGAGAAGCCAGACCCACUUAUGGGACCAAGUAGCUGGAAGAAAGGAAGCAGAAGAAAAGACCUUGAUCCUGACCGUGAAGGCACAGUUAGCCACUUCAGAUGAGACCCCCUUAGAGCUUCACUGUCUAACGUGGAAGCCACUAGCCACACGUGGCCACUGAACAUUUGAAAACAUGGCAAGUCUGAAGUGAGGUGUUCCGUAAGUGUAUAAUACGAACCUGAUUUUGAAGACUUAGUACAAAAGAAUGUUAAAGUACCUUAUUUAUCUUUCAUCUAUUGCUUAUUUGCUUAAAU